CUAAGAAUAUUCCGCAAUGGACGAAAGUCUGACGGAGCGACGCCGCGUGGAUGAUGAAGGCCGAAAGGUUGUAAAGUCCUUUUGCUGGGGAAGAAUAAGCGUGGGAGGGAAUGCCCGCGUGAUGACAUGAACCGGCGAAUAAGCCCCGGCUAACUACGUGCCAGCAGCCGCGGUAACACGUAGGGGGCAAGCGUUGUUCGGAAUUACUGGGCGUAAAGGGCAUGUAGGCGGCCUUGUAAGCUUGGCGUGAAAGUCCACGGCUUAACCGUGGGAUUGCGUUGAGAACUGCGAGGCUUGAGUGACGGAGAGGGAGCUAGAAUUCCUGGUGUAGGGGUGGAAUCUGUAGAUAUCAGGAAGAAUACCAAUGGCGAAGGCAAGCUCCUGGCCGAUGACUGACGCUGAGGUGCGAAAGUGUGGGGAUCAAACAGG
rnacentral:rRNA from 1 species